rnacentral:rRNA from 1 species
UACAGAGGGUGCGAGCGUUGUUCGGAAUUAUUGGGCGUAAAGCGCGUGUAGGCGGCCAACUAAGUCGGGUGUGAAAGCCCUCAGCUCAACUGAGGAAGUGCGCCCGAGACUGGAUGGCUUGAGUGCUGGAGAGGGUGGCGGAAUUCCCCAAGUAGAGGUGAAAUUCGUAGAGAUGGGGAGGAACACCCGUGGCUAAGGCGGCUCUCUAGUACGGUACUGACGCUGAGACGCGAAAGCGUGGGGAGCGAACAGG